rnacentral:rRNA from 1 species
AUUGAACGCUGGCGGCAUGCUUUACACAUGCAAGUCGGACGGCAGCACAGAGAACCUUGCUUCUUGGGUGGCGCGUGGCGCACGGGAGUGUCAUAUAUCGGAACGUACUGAGUAAUGGGGGAUACCUAAUCGAAAGAUUAGCUAUUACCGCAUAUUCUCUGAAGAGGAAAGCUGGGGACCUUCAGGCCUUUCGUUUUUCGAUUGGCCGUUAACGGACUAGCUAGUUGGUGGGGUAAAGGCCUACCAAGGCGACGAUCAGUAGCGGGUCUGAGAGGAUGAUCGGCCACACUGGAACUGAGACACGGCCCAGACUCCUACGGGAGGCAGCAGUGGGGAAUCUUGGGCAAUGGGCGCAAGCCUGAUCGAGCCAUGCCGCGUGUGUGAAGAAGGCCUUCGGGUUGUAAAAGACUGUUGUCAGGGAAGAAAAGGCUGGUGAGAAUAUCGACAGGUGAUGACGGUACCUGAAGAGUAAGCACCGGCUAACUACGUG